rnacentral:lncRNA from 1 species
GGGGAGGAGAGGAAAGGGCAGGAACAGCACAGGUCACAGAGGAAAGUAGAGUAGAAGAGAGAGGAGAGGGCCGGAACAGCACAGGUCACAGAGGAGAGGAGAAUAGAGGAGAGGAGAGGGCAGGAACAGCACAGGUCACAGGGGAGAGAAGAGGAGUGGAGGAGAGGGCAGGAACAGCACAGGUCACAGAGGAGAGUAGAGUAGAGGAGAGGGCAGGAACAGCACAGGUCACAGAGGAGAGGAGAGUAGAGGAGAGGGCAGGAACAGCACAGGUCACAGAGGAGAGGAGAGGGCAGGAACAGCACAGGUCACAGAGGAGAGUAGAGUAGAAGAGAGAGGAGAGGGCAGGAACAGCACAGGUCACAGAGGAGAGGGCAGGAACAGCACAGGUCACAGAGGAGAGUGGAGGGCAGGAACAGCACAGGUCACAGAGGAGAGUAGAGUAGAAGAGAGGGGAGAGGGCAGGAACAGCACAGGUCACAGAGGAGAGGAGAGUAGAAGAGAGAGGAGAGGGCAGGAACAGCACAGGUCACAGAGGAGAGUAGAGUAGAAGAGAGAGGAGAGGGCAGGAACAGCACAGGUCACAGAGGAGAGUAAAGUAGAAGAGAGAGGAGAGAGGAGAGGGCAGGAACAGCACAGGUCACAGAGGAGAGGAGAGGGGAGGAGAGGAAAGGGCAGGAACAGCACAGGUCACAGAGGAAAGUAGAGUAGAAGAGAGAGGAGAGGGCCGGAACAGCACAGGUCACAGAGGAGAGGAGAGGAGAAUAGAGGAGAGGGCAGGAACAGCACAGG